UGCCCAAGAGACUGGGAUAACACCUGGAAACAGAUGCUAAUACCGGAUAACAACACUAGACGCAUGUCUAGAGUUUAAAAGAUGGUUCUGCUAUCACUCUUGGAUGGACCUGCGGUGCAUUAGCUAGUUGGUAAGGUAACGGCUUACCAAGGCAAUGAUGCAUAGCCGAGUUGAGAGACUGAUCGGCCACAUUGGGACUGAGACACGGCCCAAACUCCUACGGGAGGCAGCAGUAGGGAAUCUUCCACAAUGGACGCAAGUCUGAUGGAGCAACGCCGCGUGAGUGAAGAAGGGUUUCGGCUCGUAAAGCUCUGUUGGUAGUGAAGAAAGAUAGAGGUAGUAACUGGCCUUUAUUUGACGGUAAUUACUUAGAAAGUCACGGCUAACUACGUGCCAGCAGCCGCGGUAAUACGUAGGUGGCAAGCGUUGUCCGGAUUUAUUGGGCGUAAAGCGAGUGCAGGCGGUUCAAUAAGUCUGAUGUGAAAGCCUUCGGCUCAACCGGAGAAUUGCAUCAGAAACUGUUGAACUUGAGUGCAGAAGAGGAGAGUGGAACUCCAUGUGUAGCGGUGGAAUGCGUAGAUAUAUGGAAGAACACCAGUGGCGAAGGCGGCUCUCUGGUCUGCAACUGACGCUGAGGCUCGAAAGCAUGGGUAGCGAACAGGAUUAGAUACCCUGGUAGUCCAUGCCGUAAACGAUGAGUGCUAAGUGUUGGGAGGUUUCCGCCUCUCAGUGCUGCAGCUAACGCAUUAAGCACUCCGCCUGGGGAGUACGACCGCAAGGUUGAAACUCAAAGGAAUUGACGGGGGCCCGCACAAGCG
rnacentral:rRNA from 1 species